AACAGAUAGCCAAGGAUUUUACGAUUAAGGAUUCCAUCUAUAAAUAGUGGUAUGAAGCUUUCCCAUUCUUAAUCUUUUCCUCAGUCUCCAAUCCAGUAGUAUUGUGCUGUAUUUUUUAUCAAUUUGUAAAUAUGCCAAAACUCUGUUUCUUUGGGAUUUAUGUUACUUAUGAGACAUUAUCUAUCAAGUUAAACAGUAUCUUUUAUUCUGUGAAUUAAGACAGAACACAGUAUCUUUAUUCUGGGAAUGUCAUGCCAAUUGUCAAGUUUGUCACCCUGAAGAUAAAUUUUCAAAGUCUACAGAGAUAUUUAUUACUAAUGCAUUAAAAAUAAUCCUUUCCUUGUCCGAACUUUCUAAAUCCAGGUCAGCAUCAACCUCAUAUUCUUUUGAAAAGGAUGAAAAAUUAUCCUUUUUCUACUGUUAUCCUGGUAGAAAUUCUUCUCAGCCACUCAUUGUUUAGGUGUGACACCAAGAAUGAUUCGUGAGGUUUGGGCUGAGACAUAAAAUGUUUUUGUAUUGUGACAACGACCUUAAAGAUGGCUAAGAAAAAUCUCUGCAGUGAACUACAAGUGAUCGGCCUUGUGACAAUCGCUCUUACUAUUAUUUAGCAUUUGGAGCUAUAGUACAAGUUUUGUGGCUUAAAUGAAAUCAAGCCUAUUUUCUACAUGACUCUGAUGAUUUCUGCGUCUGGGGCUUCUUUAAACUUUAAGGUUCACAUGCUAUCUGUUAUCAAAAGUAAACAAUUGCAAAGGUGCUAUUAUUUUUGUUGCUUGAAGUCUGCUACUAUUUACUCAGUAUUGAUUUUCAGUCAUGAUCUAAAGCAUGUGAUGCACUGGGCUUUCUCUAACACUUUUUCUUUUAGGUUUCAAGGUCAAUAGGAGAUG
rnacentral:misc_RNA from 1 species